AAAACAAAAAACCUAUUGGCGGCUGAAUUUUUUGGUGCGGCGACUCCACUGGCUCACCUACGCGGCUGUACAUUUUUCUUCGAUCAACCUGUAGAAAGCAGAACGGUGAACACAAUGGUAAAAAAAUCACAUGAAAUAAGAAACGGGAAGGAGCUCAUUAGAGGCGAUUUGGGAUUUUGCAUGUGGCGGCGCUGUCGAGCUUUACCCGCGAUUUUCGGCUCAUCCUCCAUUCAUUUUGCUCUGAUUUGGGUUUGGGGGUGCUCUGAAUCAAAUUUCGAGCGGAUAUGAGAAUUUUUACCUGUUUUAGCGA
rnacentral:lncRNA from 1 species